CUGAAAGAAGACCCUACUACCAUUCCUACGAUGAAGAGGAGGAGGGGAUUUUUGCCAGGGGAAGCCUCUUCCAUUUUUGAUGACCUUCCUAGAUCCUUCAGGGUUCCAUCCUUCGCUGAUUAGUCCUUGCUUUGUGGAUACCAGCUUUCUGGCCAAGGAAGACUGGAUGAGGGGGCUUGAAAAUGGUCUUUCCCUGUCCUCUCCACUUCUCCAGUGCUGCCUGGCUUCGCAAACCAACAUUUCUGUGCCUUCUUCUAUGUUGUCCUUUACACAUGCAAGGAACCAUAAUGAGUAAGGGAUCAUGCCUUCUUUUCUAUCUGGGAAAUGCUAAAUCACUGUGGAUGCUGCUAGAAAUAAGCUGGAUACUGCUGACAAUGUUUGCUCCUGCCCCAGGCCAGAGGCAACCAACCAAGGCACCCUUUCUUAGACUACCAGGCAGGUCAAAUUACCCAAUUAUCCUUGCGGUAUUUCAGUUCAAUAUCAGCCAGUCUGUAGCUAGUACACAUAAUUGCUUUAGAUCUUGUUUUGACAAACAGCGUGUUUAAACACAGGUUAUGCUGUCAUUUUCUGUAGCCAUUUUAAAAAAAAUAUCAGCAGUUAAUGAAACAAGCUGUCAUCAGGCAGCCAUACUACCAAAGUGACAUGAAAACUGAAUGCAUGCACUGUUUGUUUGUAGACUUUCACAUACGUUUGGACCUAGUGAUAAUUUGUUUUUCUUUCUGCAGUUUAAUAUUGUUUGGUCUAGCUUGAAAUGUGGCAGUCAUGACAUCAACAUUUACAAAAAGCUAUACUUUAUAGCAAGCUUUAAUAGACAUCAUUCAAGGUUUGGACAAGAUUUCUUAUAAGGCAAUCUGCUCCAAAUCCAUCCCACAUCCUCCAAUGCCCAUUUUGGGUGAGCUAUUUCCAUCUUCUAUAACUAUACAGAUGUGUUCCAUGUGUAGCCAAAUGAAAUCAUUGAGAUGAAGUCUGACAUGAAAUGCUUGAAAGUUGUUACAAAUGUCUGUUAAAAGAUUGUGUGCUGUUAAUGUGGAUUUUGAGAUAUUAAAGGAUCAACUCAGAGAAAUGUAUACAGUAUAGCUUGAGUUCACAAGACAUGAGA